CGGGAACUCAAAGGAGACUGCCAGUGAUAAACUGGAGGAAGGUGGGGAUGACGUCAAGUCAUCAUGGCCCUUACGACCAGGGCUACACACGUGCUACAAUGGCGCAUACAAAGAGAAGCGACCUCGCGAGAGCAAGCGGACCUCAUAAAGUGCGUCGUAGUCCGGAUUGGAGUCUGCAACUCGACUCCAUGAAGUCGGAAUCGCUAGUAAUCGUGGAUCAGAAUGCCACGGUGAAUACGUUCCCGGGCCUUGUACACACCGCCCGUCACACCAUGGGAGUGGGUUGCAAAAGAAGU
rnacentral:rRNA from 1 species